rnacentral:rRNA from 1 species
CUACGGGGWGGCWGCAGUAGGGAAUCUUCCGCAAUGGGCGAAAGCCUGACGGAGCAAUGCCGCGUGAGUGAUGAAGGUUUUCGGAUCGUAAAGCUCUGUUGCCAGGGAAGAACGCUUGGGAGAGUAACUGCUCUCAAGGUGACGGUACCUGAGAAGAAAGCCCCGGCUAACUACGUGCCAGCAGCCGCGGUAAUACGUAGGGGGCAAGCGUUGUCCGGAAUUAUUGGGCGUAAAGCGCGCGCAGGCGGUCAUUUAAGUCUGGUGUUUAAUCCCGGGGCUCAACCCCGGAUCGCACUGGAAACUGGGUGACUUGAGUGCAGAAGAGGAGAGUGGAAUUCCACGUGUAGCGGUGAAAUGCGUAGAUAUGUGGAGGAACACCAGUGGCGAAGGCGACUCUCUGGGCUGUAACUGACGCUGAGGCGCGAAAGCGUGGGGAGCAAACAGGAUUAGAUACCCCAGUAGUCA